CUCUAGUGAUAACUCUCUUCACGUGCCAUGUGUCUGGGCCCCUGAUUAUUAGUGAUGGGAUUGAGGAUCUGAGGGG